rnacentral:lncRNA from 1 species
UCCUCUUCAUCUCUUUAUCUCCUCCCCAAAGCCUUCGUCUUCUCCACAUAACCUUAAUCUCUUUUAUUUGCUUUCUUUAUUGCGGACAGCUCCAUGUGAUCUAUAGAGGGGUUUCUCUCUUUCGUUUUCUUUCUUCCACCAAAAUCAAGCCACUCCAUCUUUUUUAUUUGUUUAUUCCAUCCAACAACCCAUCUUACAUUAAAGAAACCAUUUCCUUCUUCCACUCUCCGCCAUC